GUUACGAGUAGUACGUUGACGUCGUGCACGAGACACGCUGGCGGCGUGCUUAACACAUGCAAGUCGAACGCUGAAGCUUGGUGCUUGCACUGGGUGGAUGAGUGGCGAACGGGUGAGUAAUACGUGAGUAACCUGCCCUUGACUCUGGGAUAAGCCUGGGAAACUGGGUCUAAUACUGGAUACGACAUGUCACCGCAUGGUGGUGUGUGGAAAGGGUUUUACUGGUUUUGGAUGGGCUCACGGCCUAUCAGCUUGUUGGUGGGGUAAUGGCUCACCAAGGCGACGACGGGUAGCCGGCCUGAGAGGGUGACCGGCCACACUGGGACUGAGACACGGCCCAGACUCCUACGGGAGGCAGCAGUGGGGAAUAUUGCACAAUGGGCGGAAGCCUGAUGCAGCGACGCCGCGUGAGGGAUGACGGCCUUCGGGUUGUAAACCUCUUUCAGCACGGAAGAAGCGAAAGUGACGGUACGUGCAGAAGAAGCGCCGGCUAACUACGUG
rnacentral:rRNA from 1 species